rnacentral:rRNA from 1 species
AUACGGAGGGUGCAAGCGUUAUUCGGAAUCACUGGGCGUAAAGGACGCGUAGGCGGGUUGGCAAGUCAGAUGUGAAAUCCUACAGCUUAACUGUAGAACUGCAUUUGAAACUGCUAACCUAGAGUAUGGGAGGGGGAGAUGGAAUUAGUGGUGUAGGGGUAAAAUCCGUAGAUAUCACUAGGAAUACCGAAAGCGAAGGCGAUCUCCUGGAACAUAACUGACGCUAAGGCGUGAAUGCGUGGGGAGCAAACAGGAUUAGAUACCCCAGUAGUCC